ensembl:snRNA U6 U6 spliceosomal RNA
GUGCUUGCUUCAGUACCACACGUACUAAAACUAGAACAACGUGGAGAAGACAGCACGGCCCGUGCGCAAGGAUGAUACACAAAUUCCUGAGGCGUACCAUAAUUUU